rnacentral:rRNA from 1 species
AUGGCCUCUCAGCAACCUCCGCCGCCGCCGCCGCCGAAGGAGAAGAAAUCCCCGCCACCCGCUCCCACCACCAUAUGCGCCCUCGGCGACGACCUUCUGCGCGAGGUAUUCCUCUGCCUCCCCUCCGUCCCAAGUCUCGUCCGCGCCUCCCUCACCUGCAGCCCCUUCCUCCGCGCCGUCCGCUCGUCGCCUGCAUUCCGCCGCCGGUUCCGCGACCUCCACUCACCCCCGCUCCUCGGCGUCUUCGUUGAGAUCCACGAUGCCGCCAUGCCCACCUUCGCGCCCACCCGCCGCCGCUCCGACGUGGACCACGCCGCCGCCAUCCGCGGCGCCGAUGUCUUCCUUACCCUGCUCCCCGAAGACGAUAAGGACGCCGAUCGCGAGUGGUCCAUGGAAGACUGCCGCGACGGAUAUGUCGUUCUCGUCAACUGGGAAAUCAAGCAAAUGGCUGUCUACGAUCCCCUCACACGGGCCCUGGAUCUCUUCUCCGCGCCACCGGACGAGAUCUGCAGCGACAUGCACGUUGAGUUCCACAUGCUCGCCUCUGAAGAAUGCCACGAGCAGUUCCGCAUUGUCUCUGUCUGUCAUGACGAGUGCGGGGCGCAAGCUGCCGUGUUCUCAUCAGAUACCAGAGAGUGGCAGGUUUCCCCGUUUUCGGAGGAUGCCAGCCCGCCGGACGAUGGUUUGGGUGGUACGAUGGUGAAUGGGUCUGUUUAUUGGACAUUUACAAGCGGAUCCAAUAUCCGUGUGCUGAACACUGCCACACUGCAAUUCUCAGAAAUCAAUCCGCCGCUGCAUAUGGAAGGGCAAGGGGAAUUUAAGCCUGGUGAGACCAAGGAUGGGAAGCUCUGUUUGGUCUGCGCAGUUAAGCUCAUGCUUGUUGUUUGGAUCUGGAGACCCGACGAUGACGGUGUUGAUAAAUGGAUCCUGGACAAGACAAUUUCGCUGCAGGAUGGUCUGGAUGGUGAUGUUGCUCUCAAUAUUGUGGCGAUUAUCAGUGGCUUUGUGUAUUUUUCUACUUUUUCUGAGAUGAAUCAGGAUUCUUGCUUGUUCAUGUCCUACUGCUUUGAAACAGAAAAGCUGAAUAAGCUCUGUCCUGUCACUCACUCUUACCAUUCCUAUCCUUACAUCAUGGGGUUCCCUCCUUCAUUGGUAUGCAAUAAGGUGAACCCUCAAUCUGAUGAGGCUUGA